GGCAGCGGCCGCCUCGGUGCUCGGUGCGCGCCGCUCCGCUCCCUGGUGUGUUGAUUCUUCCCCCAGCUGCUGCUUAAUGGAGUCCGGGCGCUGGCGUCACAGGAAAUGCCUAUACUGCCCUCCUCGCUCACUUCCGGCAGCAGCAGGAGAGCUUAGAGCUGAACAGGACAAAGCAACCUUGGGAGUACUGGGACCACAGAGCCAAAACCAAGAAAAUCUUCGCCGUUGAAUAGAUCCACCACCACCCUCAUGACAGCCAUCUUUAUGAAUUUGUGGACCCGUUAACACUUUUUAAGAACACGAACAGGCUGGGUAUGUAGUUCCGCAGUAGAGAGCUUGCCUAGCAGGUAAAAGACCUUUGGUUCUGGAGUGCGGGCAGGAUGGGGAUAUUUUUCGGAAAACAAAACAAAAGAAUCUGAUCAUAGGCAAGGAGCCUUCCUUCUGUUUCUGCCCCAUAGACUAGAAACACUGUGUGGGUCGCGUGCUCACAGCCUGACAGCAGCACAGAGAAGGAGGGGCACUUGAGACUGUGCAUUAGUGCAGGCUCGGUCCUGAGCCUGGCCCACAGCACGGCAGAGAUACUCUUUCCGCAGCAGCUCUUCAGGGAAAGAGAAGCCUUGUCAUCCGAAGAUGGGGUCCUCACACUGCAGCUGCGCUGUUUCAGAGCCCACCUGCUCUAAACUGCCCUGUCUCCGACUCCUCAUCAGGCACCUGCCCUUCCGAUAGAGUGGCGCCCUGCUCCCUCCUUUCCUGCAGUCUGGCUGUGUCUCCCAAGGUGAUCAGGAACCUACUUCCCUCAGCCACUCCCUGCC
rnacentral:lncRNA from 1 species